rnacentral:rRNA from 1 species
CCUACGGGUGGCAGCAGUGAGGAAUAUUGGUCAAUGGGCGAGAGCCUGAACCAGCCAAGUCGCGUGAAGGAUGACGGCCCUACGGGUUGUAAACCUCUUUUGCCGGGGAGCAAAGUGCCGCACGUGUGCGGUUUGGAGAGUACCCGGAGAAAAAGCAUCGGCUAACUCCGUGCCAGCAGCCGCGGUAAUACGGAGGAUGCGAGCGUUAUCCGGAUUUAUUGGGUUUAAAGGGUGCGUAGGCGGACGCUUAAGUCAGCGGUAAAAUUGCGGGGCUCAACCCUGUCGAGCCGUCGGAACUGGCAGCCUUGAGUGGGCGAGAAGUAUGCGGAAUGCGUGGUGUAGCGGUGAAAUGCAUAGAUAUCACGCAGAACGCCGAUUGCGAAGGCAGCAUACCGGCGCCCGACUGACGCUGAGGCACGAAAGCGUGGGGAUCGAACAGGAUUAGAUACCCGGGUAGUC